rnacentral:rRNA from 1 species
GACAGAGGGUGCAAACGUUGUUCGGAAUUACUGGGCGUAAAGCGUGUGUAGGCGGCUCUGCAAGUCGGAUGUGAAAGCCCUGGGCUCAACCCGGGAAGUGCACUCGAUACUGCAGAGCUUGAGUAUCGGAGAGGUUGGUGGAAUUCUCGGUGUAGAGGUGAAAUUCGUAGAUAUCGAGAGGAACACCGGUGGCGAAGGCGGCCAACUGGACGAAUACUGACGCUGAGACACGAAAGCGUGGGGAGCAAACAGG